rnacentral:rRNA from 1 species
GACGAACGCUGGCGGCGUGCCUAAUACAUGCAAGUAGAACGCUGAAGAGAGGAGCUUGCUCUUCUUGGAUGAGUUGCGAACGGGUGAGUAACGCGUAGGUAACCUGCCUUGUAGCGGGGGAUAACUAUUGGAAACGAUAGCUAAUACCGCAUAACAAUGGAUGACACAUGUCAUUUAUUUGAAAGGGGCAAUUGCUCCACUACAAGAUGGACCUGCGUUGUAUUAGCUAGUAGGUGAGGUAACGGCUCACCUAGGCGACGAUACAUAGCCGACCUGAGAGGGUGAUCGGCCACACUGGGACUGAGACACGGCCCAGACUCCUACGGGAGGCAGCAGUAGGGAAUCUUCGGCAAUGGGGGCAACCCUGACCGAGCAACGCCGCGUGAGUGAAGAAGGUUUUCGGAUCGUAAAGCUCUGUUGUAAGUCAAGAACGAGUGUGAGAGUGGAAAGUUCACACUGUGACGGUAGCUUACCAGAAAGGGACGGCUAACUACGUGCCAGCAGCCGCGGUAAUACGUAGGUCCCGAGCGUUGUCCGGAUUUAUUGGGCGUAAAGCGAGCGCAGGCGGUUUGAUAAGUCUGAAGUUAAAGGCUGUGGCUCAACCAUAGUUCGCUUUGGAAACUGUCAAACUUGAGUGCAGAAGGGGAGAGUGGAAUUCCAUGUGUAGCGGUGAAAUGCGUAGAUAUAUGGAGGAACACCGGUGGCGAAAGCGGCUCUCUGGUCUGUAACUGACGCUGAGGCUCGAAAGCGUGGGGAGCGAACAGGAUUAGAUACCCUGGUAGUCCACGCCGUAAACGAUGAGUGCUAGGUGUUGGAUCCUUUCCGGGAUUCAGUGCCGCAGCUAACGCAUUAAGCACUCCGCCUGGGAAGUACGACCGCAAGGUUGAAACUCAAAGGAAUUGACGGGGGCCCGCACAAGCGGUGGAGCAUGUGGUUUAAUUCGAAGCAACGCGAAGAACCUUACCAGGUCUUGACAUCCCGAUGCUAUUUCUAGAGAUAGAAAGUUACUUCGGUACAUCGGUGACAGGUGGUGCAUGGUUGUCGUCAGCUCGUGUCGUGAGAUGUUGGGUUAAGUCCCGCAACGAGCGCAACCCCUAUUGUUAGUUGCCAUCAUUCAGUUGGGCACUCUAGCGAGACUGCCGGUAAUAAACCGGAGGAAGGUGGGGAUGACGUCAAAUCAUCAUGCCCCUUAUGACCUGGGCUACACACGUGCUACAAUGGUUGGUACAACGAGUUGCGAGUCGGUGACGGCAAGCUAAUCUCUUAAAGCCAAUCUCAGUUCGGAUUGUAGGCUGCAACUCGCCUACAUGAAGUCGGAAUCGCUAGUAAUCGCGGAUCAGCACGCCGCGGUGAAUACGUUCCCGGGCCU